rnacentral:rRNA from 1 species
AUUGAACGCUGGCGGCAGGCCUAACACAUGCAAGUCGAGCGGUAAAAGGCCGCUGGGUGCUGGAGUGUGGGGCGGGGGGGAGUAAUAUACCGAAAAGUGUCCAGGGGUGGGGGGUAAAGCAGCGAGAGCUGUGCUCUUAUAGCACGUGCUCUGAGGGUGAAAGAGGGGGAGAAGGUAGGACUGUUUGCCCUCGCGUCAUUGGAGCGGCCGAUGUCGGAUUAGGUAGUUGGUGGGGUAAAGGCCUACCAAGCCGACGAUCCGUAGCUGGUCUGAGAGGACGAUCAGCCACACUGGGACUGAGACACGGCCCAGACUCCUACGGGAGGCAGCAGUGGGGAAUUUUGGACAAUGGGCGCAAGCCUGAUCCAGCAAUGCCGCGUGCGGGAAGAAGGCCUUCGGAUUGUAAACCGCUUUUGUUCGGAACGAAAAGGCUUUGGCUAAUACCUGGGGCUGAUGACGGUACCGAAAGAAUAAGCACCGGCUAACUACGUG